AUGAUUAGUGAGGAUGAUAAGGAUGAUAAGGAUGAUGACAUCGACCUGUUUGGCAGCGACAAUAAGGAUGGGGACAAGGAGGCAGCCCGGCUGCGCGAAGAGCGGCUGUGGCAGUAUGUGAAGGCCAAGAAGCCUGAGCUGGUGGCCAAGUCCUCCGUCCUGCUGGAUGUCAAGCCUUGGGAUGAUGAGACGGAUAUGGCCCAGUUGGAGGCCUGUGUGUGCUCUAUCCAGCUGAAUGGGCUGGUCUGGGGGAGUUCGAAACUGGAACCUGUAGGCUAUGGCAUCCGCAAGCUGCAGAUCCAAUGUGUGAUGGAGGAUGACAAGGUGGGAAAGGAUUUGCUGGAAGAGGAGAUCACCAAGUUUGAGGAGCAUGUGCAGAGUGUUGACAUCGCAGCUUUCAACAAGAUCUGAAGCCUACACAUGUGUGCAAGUGUGUGUAAGGCCUAGUCAUGAUUAAA